UUGCUUAAAUAUGUCCCCCAAAAAAACUAUGCUUAAUUUAAGGGGAAAAUAUUUUAAUUACAUUACACCAGUGUUUAUUUUGAUGGUUAACUUGAAGGGUUUUCAAAAGCAUUCCUGGAGCCUCCACAGCACUGCACAUGAAUGUCUUACUUAAAAGGAAUAAUUCACUCAUAAAUAAAUAUGUGCUAACCCUCAGGCCAUAAAAGAUGUAGAUGAGUUUGUUUCUUCAUCAGAAGAGAUUUGGAGAAACUAGUAUUACAGCACAUGCUCACCAGUGGAUCCUCUGCAGUGAAGGGGUGCCAGGAGAAAGCAAUAUUAUGGAUAGAGGACUUGAAUUAUAGCUAGAAGAAAAGGUUUGAAGUUAGUCGUCUUGAUGGAUUUGUUUAUUACAAACACAGCUUUUCAUUUCACAAGACGUUGGAUUAUAGUGUGUGGAUUAUAGUGAUGUUUUUAUCAACUGUUUGGACUCUCAUUCUGACGGCACCCAUUCACUGCAGAGGGUCCAUUGGUGAGCAGGUGAUGCAAGGCUGAACUUCUCCAAAUCUGUUCCGAUGAAGAAAAAAAACUCAUCUACAUCUUGGAUAGUGAGUAAAUUUUCAUUUUUGAGUGAACAGUUCCUCCAGGAACCAUUAGAAAACCAGGCCCUGUGAUUUCCAAGAUGCGGAAAACAGUCAUAAAUAUGCAGUGAUCUACAAGAUCUCAGGCCAACAUCAACAGAAAAGUGCAUUGAUACAAUCAAAGCCAAUGAAUAGUUUCCCCCAAGCAGAAGAUAAAGAAAUCACUAUCCACCGACCGACAAUGGAUCAUUAUUCAGUGUUAAGACUACACGGAUAAAAGCAAAGCUCCUUCCUUCUAAAAGCACUGAUGAUCUAAAAGGCAAAAUGAGCUAAAAGCGCUUCUGUAGAUGACAGUGUUGCCUGCAAACUGGACGAGGUCUCGACUGUAUUCCUCAAGGUCAGCUGAGCGAGUUAGCCAGCUAACUCUGGUAAACAUGCUUACAUGAACAUGGAUCAAAAUGCUUUAAUCACUUGACGCUCAGCUCCUUCCACUAGUUACCAGCUCGAGUGACCAGUUCAGACAGCAUCUACAGUAAGUCCAAUUUUUCAUCAGUGUUUCGGUUCACAUCACUAUCAUUAGGACUUUUCUGCUAACGCAGGUUCCCAUCUAGUGCACAUGUUAAAAAUAUCUUGACAAUGAUUUAAAAAAAAAAAAAAAAACUUUAGAUCACACCCAUCUUCUCUCAUAUAUUUACAGAAUGAUACUCUGAAAGUUAAGCAUCUGACUGGAUCAUUACAACUAAAUGCAUAAACAAUGAUUCUCUCUCUCUCUUUUAUUAUAUAUAUGUAUGUAUAUGUAUAUGUGUGUGUGUGUGUCUACA